rnacentral:rRNA from 1 species
CGCGUAGGCGGGUCUUCAAGUUUGGGGUGAAAUCCUCCGGCUCAACCGGAGAACUGCCUCGAAUACUGAAGGUCUCGAGGGGGAUAGGGGCAUGCGGAACUACGGGUGGAGCGGUGAAAUGCGUUGAUAUCCGUAGGAACUCCGGUGGCGAAGGCGGCGUGCUGGAUCCCUUCUGACGCUGAGGCGCGAAAGCCAGGGGAAGGCAAACG